GACGAACGCUGGCGGCGUGCUUAACACAUGCAAGUCGAGCGGUAAGGCUCCUUCGGGAGUACACGAGCGGCGAACGGGUGAGUAACACGUGUGCAACCUGCCCUUCUCAUCGGAAUAAGCGUUGGAAACGACGUCUAAUGCCGAAUAUGACCUCCUUUCGCAUGAUCGGAGGUGGAAAGCUCCGGCGGAGAAGGAUGGGCUCGCGGCCUAUCAGCUGGUUGGUGGGGUAACGGCCCACCAAGGCGACGACGGGUAGCCGGCCUGAGAGGGUGACGGGCCAAACUGCGACUGAGACACGGCCAAGAGUCCUACGGGAGGCAGCAGUGGGGAAUAUUGGACAAUGGGCGAAAGCAUGAUCCAGCAACGCCGCGUGAGGGAUGACGGCCUUCGGGUUGUAAACCUCUUUCAGCAGUGACGAAGCGAAAGUGACGGUACCUGCAGAAGAAGGACCGGCCAACUACGUGCCAGCAGCCGCCGUAACAC
rnacentral:rRNA from 1 species